rnacentral:rRNA from 1 species
UUAUCGGAGAGUUUGAUCCUGGCUCAGGACGAACGCUGGCGGCGUGCCUAAUACAUGCAAGUCGAGCGGACAGAUGGGAGCUUGCUCCCUGAUGUUAGCGGCGGACGGGUGAGUAACACGUGGGUAACCUGCCUGUAAGACUGGGAUAACUCCGGGAAACCGGGGCUAAUACCGGAUGCUUGUUUGAACCGCAUGGUUCAGACAUAAAAGGUGGCUUCGGCUACCACUUACAGAUGGACCCGCGGCGCAUUAGCUAGUUGGUGAGGUAACGGCUCACCAAGGCGACGAUGCGUAGCCGACCUGAGAGGGUGAUCGGCCACACUGGGACUGAGACACGGCCCAGACUCCUACGGGAGGCAGCAGUAGGGAAUCUUCCGCAAUGGACGAAAGUCUGACGGAGCAACGCCGCGUGAGUGAUGAAGGUUUUCGGAUCGUAAAGCUCUGUUGUUAGGGAAGAACAAGUGCCGUUCAAAUAGGGCGGCACCUUGACGGUACCUAACCAGAAAGCCACGGCUAACUACGUGCCAGCAGCCGCGGUAAUACGUAGGUGGCAAGCGUUGUCCGGA